rnacentral:rRNA from 1 species
GAUCAUGGCUCAGGACGAACGCUGGCGGCGUGCUUAACACAUGCAAGUCGAACGGUAGGGCCCUUCGGGUACGACGAGUGGCGAACGGGUGAGUAACACGUGAGUAACCUGCCCUUGACUCUGGGAUAACAGCCGGAAACGGUUGCUAAUACCGGAUAUGAGCCCCUACCGCAUGGUGGGGGUUGGAAAGCUCCGGCGGUCAUGGAUGGACUCGCGGCCUAUCAGCUUGUUGGUGAGGUAGUGGCUC